rnacentral:lncRNA from 1 species
GUGACCUUUAUCCUAUCAAGUCAUUUUUUAUAAUAGAUAUCCCACAUCGAUGAUCAGAAUUGUUAAAGUUGAUCUAAAGUAUUUGAAAUGUCUAGAAACUAAGUUUUAUAAUUUUUAAAAACUAUUUAGAUAGUGAUUAAAGAAUCACAAAAUUGAUAGUGUUUUGAUUGCCUAUACGAGUCGUGUGCUUGUUUACCAGUGUAGAGUAAUCCAACAGUUUAAAUUUUUGAUGGAAAAUUUUUAUGUUAUUUAGAUAGUGUUUGAUAAUUUCGAUCAUGAAUUGAAAAAAUUCUGACAUCUAUUUGUAAAAAGUUAUUCGUUUUUUACGGUUCAUUUUUCGACUCUUCAAUGGAUUUGAUCAUAAUUUUUAAAAAUUAUAAAAUUCGAUUUCUAAAUAUUUUUAAUAGUGUAGAUCAAUUUCAACAAUACCGAUUAUUAAUUCGGAAUUUUGGUCAUCCAUAAUGACUUGAUAGGGCAAAGUGUCUGGACUCAUAAAAAGCAUGCAGUCUAGAAUUAACAACUUGAGUUCAAAUAUUUUGGGCUGAUUGUUCGGUACAACAAAUUAUUAGCAUUAGCGGAUUGACCUAUUUGUUGUGGCAA